rnacentral:lncRNA from 1 species
GGUUCUCUCCAAUAGUAGUGCUGUUGUUUACACCAGUAAUAAAACCAUCAUCACUUGCCAAAGGAAAUGGUGAUGAAAAUGGAUAGUUGGCAUUCGGAAAAGUAUCGUUAUUGAAGUCAUCCAAAUUUUGAUCAGAAUAAGGAAAUCUGAAGCUGUCGCUAUUCAUGAUCACCUACAAAAACAACAUUUAACAAUUAAAGAGAUAUAGUUGUACAUACAGAAAGAAUAUGUAGGAAACAAAGUAAUUAUGGUUCUGCAUUGCUAGCUAAAGAGUGCAACAAAAUUACUAAUGAAGACUCGAAUUGGGGAUGCCAUCCAACAUUUUGGAAGAAAAUUACUAAUGAUUUGACAUCUGAUCGGUUAUAUAUCGUAACAAGGCGGAUAAAUGAAAAAGAACUAAGAAUCCAAUUGAUAUACAUAUUAUAUAGCAAAGUUUGUAUAGAAUUUAUAAAAUUGAAAAGGCUCAAGAAAUAUCUAUCUAUUAUUCGUUGAGUCAGAUAAAUUUUCUUUUGCAGCUCAAUAUGGUUUUAGAAUCGUAAACUAUCAAUUGGUUGAUAAUCAUUUGCAUCGUCUGCCUGCUACAACAUACUAUGUACGGAUUUUUGAGUUUUGGUCAUCGGUUAUAUUGAAUAUUCAAUGUAAAAUCAAACAUAAUUGACAGUUUAAACACGUGGGCUUCAUAUUUAUAGCAUAAACUGCGUUACAGUUAACGGCAUAUCCACAAACGGAUUAGGGUUUAACUAAAGGUCAGGAUCGGAUCACCACUACAUUCUCUCGAACAUUUGUCUGUUUUUCCUUUCAGCUUAUGAAUAUAUUGUAAUUAUAGAUCCAAAAAUUAAAAUAAAAAAACACAUAAGUUCAAGCCCCAUUCUUCACAAAACGUAGGAUGAGCUCGCAAUGGAUGAUAGAUAAAUCCUAUCUACAUGUUUUACAUCGAUCUAGUGCUAUGUAACCCAUUCCAAUAAAUUGAGGAAAAAUGGAGGCAGUAACCUGAUAAAAUUUCUUUGUCCUGCAAGUAUUAACUUAAUUAUCAGCCUCGAUUCGUCUUAAAUUAAUCAUUGGAUAUGUCAAUUAAUAAUCAUAUAUAUGAAUACAUGCAAUUCAUCAUUCAAAGGUGACAUGCAAGAUAAACCAAUUACAGUAAAAAGUAAAUCAUGCAUAACAGUGAUCAGCUGAUGACUAAAUUGAUGCAAGCAAUGCAAUUACCUUGUGUGUUAUAUAUCCGAAACAAAUAAGGAAUGUUGAGGGAAUAUAGCAACCAGCGCUGCCACUAGCUCGCUCACUGUGUCUCUCUUCUUCAAAGCAGAAAUUUAGCAAACCUAGAAGCUCGAGUAGAGAGAGGGGAUGGGAAGCAGUAUAUAGACCAAAAAAUUUAUACAAACAAAGGGAAAGUAGAAGAAACCAAAUUCCACAACCAAUGCUAAUUGUAAAUACAACAGGGUGUCGGUUAGUCUGUCUGAAUGAGCUGGAUUUGUUGGUCUAAAUAGCAAAUCCCUGAGCGAUAAAUGAAGGGUGAUUUACAACCAUAUUUGGCUCUAUCAAUUAAAUUGUACAAUUUUCUUUUUGUGAAAUUUUCUUAUGGUAUAAUUGAGGGAGUAGUUUUCACCUGGUCAACAAUAGAGCAAUUAAAUUAUGCUCAAUAUGUCAUUUUUAGAUUUAUAUUCAAGGGUAGAGAAUUAAACAAUAAAAUUUAAUGAUAAUUCUCUCUACCUUUAUAUUUACAUCCAAUGAUGAU